UGGCUGAGCGGUAAAGCGCUUGGUUUCUGAAUCAAGGGUCCUGGGUUCGAAUCCUGG
rnacentral:tRNA from 1 species